AGGAAGGAGCGAAGGAGAGAGAAAGAGGGAAGGAAGGCUGGGGCAAGAGCUGACAGGCUCACACCUGCAGGUUCCCCCGGUUUCCACAAAACUUAUCCUCAGCCCCCAUCACUACCACCACCAGGCCAAAAUGCAGACUUAUGUGAGUCACAAACCCAUUCCAACUUCCCUGGGCCUAAGGAAAGGUGAUCCUUGGGCCUGAUUUUGAAGCAGGUCCCUGAACAACACUUUCAAGUGCUAACAGCACACGUGUUAGGCAGGGCCCUGUGACACAAAGCCAGGGUCCGGCUCCUUAACGUGGGGAACCCCUAGAGGACAUAAACAAGAAGGAUUACGAAGGAUUACACAAGCUGGCCAACGGGCUGCCAGACAACAGAGGCCGAGAAAGACAAGCUCUGGGGGAGGAAGGGGUUAAACUCACAUGUGGGUCAGGCGCGGUGGCUCAGGUGGCAGGAAAAACAGUGUGUCCUUGUGCUGUGCUAAGUUGCCACAUCCACUGGAAUUUAUUAACCAAUGUUUGGGUUGGGCGCGGUGGCUCACACCUAUAAUCCCAGCACUUUGGGAGGCAGAGGCGGGCUGAUCACAAGGUCAAGAGAUCGAGACCAUUCUGGCCAACAUGGUGAAAUCCCGUCUCUACUAAAAAUACAAAAAUUAGCUGAGUGUAGUGGUGGGCACCUUUGUAAUCGCAGCUGCUCGGGAGGCUAAGGCAGGAGAAUUGCAGAGGUUGCAGUGAACCAAGAUCACGCCAUCAUACUCCAGCCUGGUGACAGAGCGAGACUCUGUCUCCAAAAAAAAAAAAACUUACACAGGCACAUGUGCACCAGCUCCUCCUGGGGCCCACAGCCCUCAGGAAGCCCCUCCAGCUCCCACCUGGGCUACCCCUGCAGGAACACCGCCAGCCUCUUAGAGACUGGGUUCUUAUCAUCACACCUCCUCUGGUCUUCCCACCAAACCUCGGCAUUAGGUCCAAGUUCCCAGGGUCAUGUGUCUCUUUCAAGAUAAGGAAAGACAAAUACUACAAACUAACCCAUGCCUAUGUGCCCAUCAGGGGCCACAGGCGAUGCCAGGACUUUCCCAGAGAACAUUCCAGAAAGAAUCCCCACGUGUGGCUCCCAAAAAGGGGAUCAACUAGUAUGGUUCUUGUCUGCACUGCUAACCUGCUGAGUUACUGGGAACACACUACUUGUCCUCUCAGAUGCACCAACGUGUGUGGAACAUGUGGAGAAGGAAUUCUCUUAGGCCCAUGCUACCAUGUGGCCACUGUCCACGAGAUCACCAGUCACCCACUCUCCCUAAUUUUCAACAGGGAUCCCUCCUGGGAGUUUCUGGGUCAUGAGCCCAGCUUUUAGCCACAGCAUCGAGCCAACCAACUCAUCCACUUUUAAGGAGACACUGCCUCUACAGUGCCUCUCCAUUCUAGCACAAGUACUCCAACCACGAAGGAGACCCCUUCCAACAAAGGCUGUCUGACACAGGCUGCACCCUGAUGUGGCAGCACCGGGCUCCAAAAAUAAAUCUGAAACCAUCCCCGACCCAAGUGAGAAGCUACAGGGACCAAAUAACAUUGUCAGUGUUAUCGAUUCCUUCAGCAUUCUUGUCAGCACUGGUGAAGGUAUGGACAAAGUACCCUGUGACCGAUGUGCCUGAGGUUGCCAGGGAAAGGACGGGGGUGCCAGGAAAAACUACAGGUAAGAGGCUGCCACACCAGUGCUCCAGCAGGAACACAGACUGAACAGGGGUUGGAGGCGGAGGAUAACUAAGCACUGUGAUUCACUGGUAGGGGAUGGAGGAAAAAAUUAAGGAAACAGAAUCCACCUGGAAAGACUAACUGACCUGGCCCCUGGGAACAGCAGCAGCAACCACGUGGAAAAGGCAGUGAUGCCUGAGCUACCUGUCCCAGCAGCUGCGCAGAGAGCCAAGGCUCAGCAGGCCGGGCUCCUGCCCCAGAAACCUUCCCUCGUCUCCCAGAGGCCUAUGGUGGAGAAUUUAAAAGGUAAAUCACUCAACUCCAGAAUUAUAACUUUCUCUAUCCCAGCAUUUCCUGCUCCUCACAAAUGGCUGCUGACCUCAGGAGGUAUAUGUCUCCCUCAGAAACUACUGAGUUCUGCUAUCAAAACUGGAUCCCAGGCCAGGCACAGUGGCUCACGCCUAUAAUCCCAGCACUUUGGGAAGCCAAGGUGGGAGGAUCACUUGAGCCCAGGAGUUCAAGACCUGCCUGGGCAACAUGGUGAAACCCUGUCUCUAAAAAAAGUACAAAAAAAUUAGCCAGGCCUGGUGGUGCAUGCCUGUAGUCCCAGCUACUCGAGAGGCUGAGAUGGGAGGAUCACGUGAGCCCAGGGAGGUCAAGGCUGCAGUGAGCCAUGAUUGUGCCACUGCACUCCGGCCUGGGUGAUAGAGUGACACCCUGUCUCAAAAAUAAACAAAAGAAAAACCUGAACCCCAGUCACUAAUUCACCUCAGAUAGAACAGUGACCUAGAAGAUUCAUAGAGGGCCACAGGAGCACCUGGGAUAGCACUCCUGUUUCUAACGCCUUCUCAGCUCACCUGAGAACUCACUGCAACCUGGGCCACAGAACACAAAGGACAGUCCUCAUGACAGACAACCCGAGGCUCGUCCAAUUGACUAAUAACUGACAAUUACACAGGGCGAUGUGACAGCCAACGAGAGGGCAGUGGGAGAGAAACUCUGCCAGGGGUUAAGAGUUACUUGAUUAAGAAGCAUAGGGGAAAAGAUCCUGGGCUUAACAAACACUUCACACAGUGCAUUUCAUCUGACAGUGCAGAAAUGCCCUCUGCUCACCAUGUCAUGAGUCCCGAGCUGGGCCUCAGGAAGGACUCUAGAGCCACUAUACCAAUCUCCCUGGGGAAGGGGAGAGACAGAGAAACUCAACGCGUUACCCAGGAACACACAGGGAUGCUUCCCAAACACACUCUCAGACCAUGCUUCAGUUAUGGACUAAGAUUUCCAAAAACAGCCAACUUUUGAUUGUUCAUGAAGAUUUUAUACAUAAGAACAUUUUAAGUCACUCAGUAUACUGCUGAGUCACCUGGUCUAAGUGUCAGUCCAGCUCGGAACUUACAGUAACACAAACAUCUUUACUUGUAGUGAUGGUAGCCGCAACAGCAGCAGUAGUAACCAUUCAUCCUAACUCAGAACUGACCACGGGCCAAGCACCAGCUCAAACACUUUCACGUACAUUAUUUCAUUUUAUUCUCCCAACAAACCUACAAGAGAAAUAGUAUAUGUUAUGAUCCUGUAGAUAAGCAAAGGGGAUUAGUCCCUUCUCACGCUGCUGACAAAGACACACCCAAGACUGGGUAAUUUAUCUUUUAUUUUUUAUUUAUUUAUUUAUUUUUUGAGGCGGAGUUUCACUGUUGUUACCCAGACUGGAGUGCAAUGGCACGAUCUCAGCUCACCGCAACCUCUGCCUCCUGGGUUCAAGCAAUUCUCCUGCCUCAGCCUCCCGAGUAGCUGGGAAUAUAGGUGUGCACCACCAUGCCCAGCUAAUUUUUGUAUUUUUAGUAGAGACGGGGUUUCACCUUGUUGACCAGGAUGGUCUCGAUCUCUUGACCUCGUGAUCCACCCGCCUCGGCCUCCCAAAGUGCUGGGAUUAUAGGCGUGAGCCACCGCACCCGGCCAAUUAAUUUUUUUUAAAAAAGAGGUUUAAUGGACUCCCAAUUCCAUGUGGCUGGGGAGGCCUCACAAUCCUGACAGAAGGCAAAAGGCACAUCUUACAUGACAGCAAACAAGAGAGAAUUAGCUUUCGUAGGGAAACACCCCUUUAUAAAACCAUCAGAUCUCAGGAGACAUACUCACUAUCAUGAGAACAACAUGGGAAAGAUCCAUCCCCACAAUUCAAUUACCUUCCCCUGGCGUCCCUCCCACAACACAUGGGAAUUAUGGGAGCUACAAUUCAAAAUGAGAUUUGGGUAGGGUCACAGAGCCAAACCGUAUCAGAAAGUAAGGUUCAGACAAGUUAACGAAUUUGGUCCACGGUGAAAUGCAGGCAGUUUGAUUCCGGAACUGACAAACACCACUGCAUAGCUGCAACGAAAACUGUAUCACUUUCAGGUCAAAUCACGAAUAAUUCUGGAUGAUACAGUUGCACUAAAAUGUACAUCCUUGAACAAGAGUGUCACAAAAAUGCUUUCUGAUACUGUGUGAGCACACACAUUUUUUAAAACUAUUUAUUUCAGCUAAAAAUGCAAGUCAAAGUUACCACUGUCUUCAUUACAACUUUGUAUGCUGGCAUGUGGCCAUAUAUGCAGAAAAAAACAUCACCUUUCUGUUUGUUCAGCAAAUUUCAAAGCAUGAUCAAAUAUCUCAGGUGGCCCUAAACAACUCAGUGAAGAAAUCUGAGAUUAUUAAAGCCAUGUAUAGCCACAAAAAAUGGUCUCUGAAAGGACACAGGCUCAGUUGGGAGCAGUGGCUGACACCUGUCAUCCUAGCACUUUGGGAGGCUGAGGAGGGUGGAUCACCUGAGGUCAGAUCACUUGAGUUCAGAUCACUGUUCGAGACCAGUCUGCCCAAACCCGCCUCUACUAAAAAUACAAAAAAUCAGCCAGGUGUGGUUGUGGGUGCCUGUAAUUCCAGCUACUCGGGAGGCUGAGGCAGGAGAGUCGCUUGAACCCAGGAGGCGGAGGCUGCGGUGAGCCGAGAUUGCAUCACUGCACUCCAGAUUGGGUGACAAGAGCAAAACUCCAUCUCAAAAAAAGAAAGGGAAAGGGAAGGAAAUGAGGACACGGGCUUUCCCUGGAUCACAACGAGCAAGAGGUAGAGGCCAGGCUUCAAACCUGGGUCUUUGUGGUUGCCCCCAUGAGAAAAUCCAGCCCCCUAGAAAUAUUUUCAAAUAGGUUGGGUGGUUCAGAGGGUUCCCACAGCUGGACAAAGGGCUGUACCAAAACACACAGAAUCCCAAAGAGGAGGAAACUUGUGAACAUCUGUGCCUGUGUGUACAGACUCCCCAGCAAGUGGAAGCCAAGGUUUCUGAAUUCACUUGGCAAGAAGAAGGUUCUUCAAAGUGUGUGCUACUUUAGAAACGUUUAAAGGGAAUAAGCAGAGGAAGAACUUUGGUUUGAUGGGCAUGUUCCAAAAUGAAUAUGAGAAAGCUAGAGCCCAAUGUCAUCCUUCUGGAAUUAUCUACACUGGAUUUGUUUAGUAAAACACAUGGAGCCAUAAAUUACACUCAACUCUGGAUAGGGUCUACAUGGCCAGUGGGGUCCAUAUACCCCAGUGAGAUCAUAACUUAAAUUUCUGGUAAGUUACCUCCGUCUAAGUACAUAAGGAAACCUGUAAGUGCACAGAAGACACUGUUAUCAACCUUUUAAGGCAAUAGAAAGGAAAGUGCUUUGAGUUUUCCAGCUGUGCAGCAGUUCCCCAAAACAACAACAAAAUAGUACGUCUAUUUCAGCACCACUGUCUUUCCCCAUGUGGCAGUCCUAAGGACAACUCACAGCUUGCUGUAUUGUCGAACAGCAAGCCACUUUCUUACAAGGUGUUGACGUUUUGAUUUUUUUUUUAAGAGUUCACUCUGAUCAUUGAAGCCUGAGUCAAUCUGAAUGGUAGCACCCAAGAAUCACCAGGCUCAGAGAGGCUGCUAAGAGGCUCACUGCUCAGAAAGGCCAGCUCUGUCCUCUUCAUGCCCAAAAGAGGCCCUAUGAGGAAGAGAGGCUCUUAACGUUGGGAGGGAUCUCUUCUGAUUCUGUACCUUCUUCCAGUGAUGGGAAAGGAACAAUCAAGUGCUUGAAAAUAAAGACCGUCAACCACGCGCAGUGGCUCAUGCCUGUAAUCCCAGCACUUUGGAAGGCCGAAGCAGGCAGAUCACGGGGUCAGGAGACUGAGACCAUCCUGGCCAACAUGGUGAAACCCCGUCUCUACUAAAAACACAAAAAUUAGCCAGGUGUGGUGGGGUGCGCCUGUGGUCUUAGCUACUCGGGAGGCUGAGGCAGGAGAAUCGCUUAAACCCAAGAGGCAGAGGUUGCAGUGAGCCAAGAUCAUGCCACUGCACUCCAACCUGGCAAAAGAGUGAGACUCUGUCUCAAAAAAAAAUAGAAAUAAAGACUAUCAGAAUACAGCUGAGAAGAGUUUGGGGUUCUAUUUAGGCUUUCUAAUUAAAGAAAGAUCCUUAGAUAUUAAACCAACCAACAAACAAAAAAGCCUCCCAUCACAAUCUACUUGGCCACCAAAAGCUUCAUUCAUCUUGUGUGUGCCCGGCAUAAGCAUACAAAUCUACUAGAUACUCAAGGCACAUGGGAACUGCUGCAACAGCUGUUGGUCUCCCCAUCCUGUAUUAUGUAUGUGUGCUGGAUAUAUAUUCCACCUGCCCUGCAGAGCACCUCUUUAGCCUCCUCCUGACUGCUCCCGGCCCUAGGAGACUGACAUUUAUGGAUGCAUCUGCAGGCUCCCUUGCCAUGGACUUCCAUCCAGCUCCACCAAAGGGAGGCACCAGUGCAAGAAGCAAGGGGAGGGGUAGAAGGAGGACAGGAAAGUUAUCCCCCAACUCCCUUCCUGCUGGGCUGCAGUGAGUGAGCUGCACCCUGCUAUUAAGGACCAUGACUCCCGCGAAGCACCCAUAAGCCCAGCUACUUUCCCCUCUGGCAUCUUUUAUCUGCUCUUCUCCUUCACCCCUUCAGAUCCUGGGGGGAUGGAAGUUCCCUGGUGUAGCCUGCCAUCCUCAUCUUGGGGGAGUGAGUGCACCCCUGCCCACCACAGAGAAGUUGUCCUCGCCUUGAUUUCUUCUUUCUGAGUGUGCCAUCUGUCUUCUGCCAGGACCGCGACUGACAUAAUAAAAAACGGAAUUGAUUACCCUAGAA